rnacentral:rRNA from 1 species
AUUGAACGCUGGCGGAAUGCUUUACACAUGCAAGUCGAACGGCAGCACGGACUUCGGUCUGGUGGCGAGUGGCGCACGGGUGAGUAAUGUAUCGGAACGUGCCCAGUCGUGGGGGAUAACGUAGUGAAAAUUACGCUAAUACCGCAUACGAUCUAUGGAUGAAAGCGGGGGAUCGCAGGACCUCGCGCGAUUGGAGCGGCCGAUAUCAGAUUAGGUAGUUGGUGGGGUAAAGGCCCACCAAGCCAACGAUCUGUAGCUGGUCUGAGAGGACGACCAGCCACACUGGAACUGAGACACGGUCCAGACUCCUACGGGAGGCAGCAGUGGGGAAUUUUGGACAAUGGGCGAAAGCCUGAUCCAGCCAUUCCGCGUGCAGGAUGAAGGCCCUCGGGUUGUAACUGCUUUUGUACAGAACGAAAAGGUUUCUACUAAUACUAGGAGCUCAUGACGGUACUGUAAGAAUAAGCACCGGCUAACUACGUGCCAGCCGCCGCAGUAA